rnacentral:rRNA from 1 species
UCAAAAACAUGUCUUUCUUGAAUAAAAUGGAAAGUCUGAUCUGCUCAAUGAUAAAUUAUUAAAUAGCUGCGGAAUUUUAACUGUACAAAGGUAGCAUAGUAAAUUGUUCAUUAAUUGUGAACUAGAAUGAAGGAUUAAAUAAGAUUCUAACUGUUUCUAAAAAAAAAAUUUAAUUUAAUUUUUAAGUUAAAAAGCUUAAAUAUAAUUAAGGGACGAGAAGACCCUAUAGAUUUUUAUAUUAAGAGGUUAAAGGUGAAAAUUUAAUUUUAUUAAUAUUUGGAUGGGGCAUUUUUAAAAUAUAAAAAUUUUUAAAGUUAAGAAACAAAUGUAUUUGAAUAAGAGAAUGGUGAAAGAUAUUAAAAAUAAAAAUACCUUAGGGAUAACAGCAUAAUGAUUUGUGUAAGUUCAUAUUAUAUAAAUUGGUUGUGACCUCGAUGUUG